rnacentral:rRNA from 1 species
GAUGAACGCUGGCGGCGUGCCUAAUACAUGCAAGUCGAACGCACAGCGAAAGGUGCUUGCACCUUUCAAGUGAGUGGCGAACGGGUGAGUAACACGUGGAUAACCUACCUCAAGGUUGGGGAUAACAUUUGGAAACAGAUGCUAAUACCGAAUAAAACUUCGUAUCGCAUGAUACAAGGUUAAAAGGCGCUACGGCGUCACCUAGAGAUGGAUCCGCGGUGCAUUAGUUAGUUGGUGGGUAAAGGCUACCAGACAAUGAUGCAUAGCCGAGUUGAGAGACUGAUCGGCCACAUUGGGACUGAGACACGGCCCAAACUCCUACGGGAGGCUGCAGUAGGGAAUCGUUCCACAAUGGGCGAAAGCCUGAUGGAGCAACGCCGCGUGUGUGAUGAAGGCUUUCGGGUCGUAAAGCACUGUUGUAUGGGAAGAACAGCUAGAGUAGGGAAUGACUUUA